rnacentral:rRNA from 1 species
GAUGAACGCUGGCGGCGUGCCUAAUACAUGCAAGUCGAGCGAACAGAUGAGGAGCUUGCUCCUCUGACGUUAGCGGCGGACGGGUGAGUAACACGUGGAUAACCUACCUAUAAGACUGGGAUAACUUCGGGAAACCGGAGCUAAUACCGGAUAAUAUAUUGAACCGCAUGGUUCAAUAGUGAAAGACGGUUUUGCUGUCACUUAUAGAUGGAUCCGCGCCGCAUUAGCUAGUUGGUAAGGUAACGGCUUACCAAGGCAACGAUGCGUAGCCGACCUGAUAGGGUGAUCGGCCACACUGGAACUGAGACACGGUCCAGACUCCUACGGGAGGCAGCAAUAGGGAAUCUUCCGCAAUGGGCGAAAGCCAGACGGAGCAACGCCGCGUGAGUGAUGAAGGUCUUCGGAUCGUAAAACUCUGUUAUUAGGGAAGAACAAAUGUGUAAGUAACUAUGCACGUCUUGACGGUACCUAAUCAGAAAGCCACGGCUAACUACGUG